AUUGAACGCUGGCGGCAGGCUUAACACAUGCAAGUCGAGCGGGGUGAUGGUGCUUGCACUAUCACUUAGCGGCGGACGGGUGAGUAAUGCUUAGGAAUCUGCCUAUUAGUGGGGGACAACAUCUCGAAAGGGAUGCUAAUACCGCAUACGUCCUACGGGAGAAAGCAGGGGAUCACUUGUGACCUUGCGCUAAUAGAUGAGCCUAAGUCGGAUUAGCUAGUUGGUGGGGUAAAGGCCUACCAAGGCGACGAUCUGUAGCGGGUCUGAGAGGAUGAGCCGCCACACUGGGACUGAGACACGGACCAGACUCCUACGGGAGGCAGCAGUGGGGAAUAUUGGACAAUGGGGGGAACCCUGAUCCAGCCAUGCCGCGUGUGUGAAGAAGGCCUUAUGGUUGUAAAGCACUUUAAGCGAGGAGGAGGCUCUUUUGGUCAAUACCCAGAAUGAGUGGACGUUACUCGCAGAAUAAGCACCGGCUAACUCUGUGCCAGCAGCCGCUGUAA
rnacentral:rRNA from 1 species